rnacentral:misc_RNA from 1 species
AAUCGUACCCUGCGUGGUUUCAGCCGUGAAAUCGGGUGCGGUGUCGUUGAUACGAGGAAUCUUGCCAGUGAUCUCGCCUGCAAUUGCGGUACUCAUAUUUUUCU